GAAACAUCUUUCCAAGUGGUUUUGAUUUCAAAUGGCCAUCUCUCAUUUGUUUUAAUGAACUAUGGUAGAAUUGCUCCAUCACAGCGAUAUGUACAGGCCGGUUAUGACAACAUCGACUCCAGCUAUUAUUUCUCAAUUACCGAAUCACUCCAGACUGACUUCACAGGCUUAACACACAGCACCAAUGUCAAUGUUACAGGCAGAUGGGCCUUCAGAACAGAUUGUGGACCACAGGGAUGUCAGUUCAAAGAUUUUUCAGGCUUUACUGAUACUACUGUUGUACCGACGACAACUUCAAUAGGAGACUCCACUGACAAUG